rnacentral:lncRNA from 1 species
UCAAGUCCAAGUGGUCUGGUCCUUUUGUAGUUAAGGAGGUGUUUCCACAUGGGGCUGUGGAAAUUUUCAAAUCGGGGGAGGAGAAUCAGAGUUUUAAGGUGAAUGGUCAAAGGUUGAAAGUUUAUCGUGGUGGAGAGCUCGUUCGGCACAACGUGGCUCUUUUCUUCCAAGACCCUUAGGGGUAUGGAACGUCAAGCAUCGGGACGUUAAACAAGCGCUGGUUGGGAGGCAACCCAACGGUUUCUAAUGAUUAAUUGUUUUGUUUUGCAAGAUGCAGGUAGGUACGCAGCUAUUAGCAGCAAACAGAGCAGGAACAGAGCACUGAUGAAGUGAACUACGCUGGGGGCGUGGUACAGUCACGCGCGGCGUCGUGUAAGUGCAGGAAAGAGGUACCACUGGAGUAUCGGUCACGCGCGGCGUGGUGGCUUCCCACGCGCGGCGUGAUGAUGGGAGUGGAUAAGUGAGCUCUCUGACUAGUGAUCACGCGCGGCAUGGUAUCUUUCACGCGCCGCGUGACCAAGGCAGAG